GGGCACCAAGAAGUGACAGGGCACUGCUGGGGCUUCAUGGCCACUGACAACACCACAGAGUCAACACCCUCCUCACCACACUUCCACCCUCCCGUCUUUUGACUGAGAAGUUUCCAGUGAUCAAGAUCUGAAAUCUGUAUGGCAAACGGGGCAUAAGGCUUCUAGAGCACCAGAUGCCAAAACUGUCUGUCUGUGAGAAACAUCAACUCAGGGAUUCUGUUAAGUGUCCACUUACAGGAUUAUCCAGGGGAUUACAUGGGCUGUUGCACCAUCUGACCCGGCAGCCAGACCACAAGUGUAUUGAGAAACGACAAUAAUGCACUUCAAACCUUUUGUCAUCACAACAGAGAUGGUACUCUGUUUCAGCCAUUAAAUGAAUAAAUAUUUUUCUCCUGGG